CCAAAUACUUGGGACACACUAUACAUGAAAUGUAUAAUGGAUACAAGAAUAAUCAGAUCAUGGGACAAAGAGGUUAUGACAAGGUAACCGCGAAAACUACCUAUCAUGUGCAUUGCAUGUGCCAACUUUACUUGUUCAGCUGAAUCUCGCCCAAGGAUGGCAUUUUGCCCAGCCUUGGCCCAUCUUGACAUGUCUCCAGGCUAAUGUCAUGCCCGCAAUCUGCUGCUCAUGAUUUUUCCACACACGCACGACGCCGCUACCGCCCGCAUACACUGCUUUGGCAUGGUUUCUUCCUUGCCCAUGUCAACCUUCAUUUCCCUCGUGCCAUUGUUUGUAUCUUCCUUCGCAUAGCUUUUCCUUAGCUAUUGAAAGCCAUUGCCAUCAUCCCACAUUUCCGCCUUGCCUUAGCUUA
rnacentral:lncRNA from 1 species